AAAUUGAAGAGUUUGAUCAUGGCUCAGAUUGAACGCUGGCGGCAGGCCUAACACAUGCAAGUCGAACGGUAACAGGAAGAAGCUUGCUUCUUUGCUGACGAGUGGCGGACGGGUGAGUAAUGUCUGGGAAACUGCCUGAUGGAGGGGGAUAACUACUGGAAACGGUAGCUAAUACCGCAUAACGUCGCAAGACCAAAGAGGGGGACCUUCGGGCCUCUUGCCAUCGGAUGUGCCCAGAUGGGAUUAGCUUGUUGGUGGGGUAACGGCUCACCAAGGCGACGAUCCCUAGCUGGUCUGAGAGGAUGACCAGCCACACUGGAACUGAGACACGGUCCAGACUCCUACGGGAGGCAGCAGUGGGGAAUAUUGCACAAUGGGCGCAAGCCUGAUGCAGCCAUGCCGCGUGUAUGAAGAAGGCCUUCGGGUUGUAAAGUACUUUCAGCGGGGAGGAAGGGAGUAAAGUUAAUACCUUUGCUCAUUGACGUUACCCGCAGAAGAAGCACCGGCUAACUCCGUGCCAGCAGCCGCGGUAAUACGGAGGGUGCAAGCGUUAAUCGGAAUUACUGGGCGUAAAGCGCACGCAGGCGGUUUGUUAAGUCAGAUGUGAAAUCCCCGGGCUCAACCUGGGAACUGCAUCUGAUACUGGCAAGCUUGAGUCUCGUAGAGGGGGGUAGAAUUCCAGGUGUAGCGGUGAAAUGCGUAGAGAUCUGGAGGAAUACCGGUGGCGAAGGCGGCCCCCUGGACGAAGACUGACGCUCAGGUGCGAAAGCGUGGGGAGCAAACAGGAUUAGAUACCCUGGUAGUCCACGCCGUAAACGAUGUCGACUUGGAGGUUGUGCCCUUGAGGCGUGGCUUCCGGAGCUAACGCGUUAAGUCGACCGCCUGGGGAGUACGGCCGCAAGGUUAAAACUCAAAUGAAUUGACGGGGGCCCGCACAAGCGGUGGAGCAUGUGGUUUAAUUCGAUGCAACGCGAAGAACCUUACCUGGUCUUGACAUCCACAGAACCUUGUAGAGAUACGAGGGUGCCUUCGGGAACUGUGAGACAGGUGCUGCAUGGCUGUCGUCAGCUCGUGUUGUGAAAUGUUGGGUUAAGUCCCGCAACGAGCGCAACCCUUAUCCUUUGUUGCCAGCGGUCCGGCCGGGAACUCAAAGGAGACUGCCAGUGAUAAACUGGAGGAAGGUGGGGAUGACGUCAAGUCAUCAUGGCCCUUACGACCAGGGCUACACACGUGCUACAAUGGCGCAUACAAAGAGAAGCGACCUCGCGAGAGCAAGCGGACCUCAUAAAGUGCGUCGUAGUCCGGAUUGGAGUCUGCAACUCGACUCCAUGAAGUCGGAAUCGCUAGUAAUCGUGGAUCAGAAUGCCACGGUGAAUACGUUCCCGGGCCUUGUACACACCGCCCGUCACACCAUGGGAGUGGGUUGCAAAAGAAGUAGGUAGCUUAACCUUCGGGAGGGCGCUUACCACUUUGUGAUUCAUGACUGGGGUGAAGUCGUAACAAGGUAACCGUAGGGGAACCUGCGGUUGGAUCACCUCCUUACCUUAAAGAA
rnacentral:rRNA from 1 species